AUUGAACGCUGGCGGCGUGCUUAACACAUGCAAGUCGAUCGGUAACAGGUGUAGCAAUACAUGCUGACGAGAGGCGGACGGGUGAGUAAUGCUUGGGAAUCUGCCUAUUAGUGGGGGACAACCCGGGGAACUCGGGCUAAUACCGCAUUACGCUCUACGGAGGAAAGCCGGGGACCGCAAGGCCUGGCGCUAAUAGAUGAGCCCAAGUCGGAUUAGCUAGUUGGUAGGUAACGGCCUACCAAGGCGACAAUCCGUAGCUGGUCCUGAGAGGACGACCAGCCACACCGGAACUGAGACACGGUCCGGACUCCUACGGGAGGCAGCAGUGGGGAAUAUUGGACAAUGGGGGCAACCC
rnacentral:rRNA from 1 species